rnacentral:rRNA from 1 species
GAUGAACGCUAGCGGCAGGCUUAAUACAUGCAAGUCGAGGGGCAGCAUGAGUAGCAAUACUUGAUGGCGACCGGCAGACGGGUGCGGAACACGUACGCAACCUUCCUUUAAGUGGGGAAUAGCCCCGGGGAAACCCGGAUUAAUACCCCGUAAGAUUAUGAUGUGGCAUCACAUUAUAAUUAUAGAUUCAUCGCUUAAAG